UACGUAGGGUGCAAGCGUUGUCCGGAAUUAUUGGGCGUAAAGAGCUCGUAGGCGGUCUGUCGCGUCGGCUGUGAAAACUCGGGGCUCAACCCCGAGCCUGCAGUCGAUACGGGCAGACUAGAGUGCUGUAGGGGAGACUGGAAUUCCUGGUGUAGCGGUGAAAUGCGCAGAUAUCAGGAGGAACACCGGUGGCGAAGGCGGGUCUCUGGGCCGUUACUGACGCUGAGGAGCGAAAGCGUGGGGAGCGAACAGG
rnacentral:rRNA from 1 species